AAGACAUUGUAUCUGAGCCUUUCUGGAGACUAUUCAAAGCAAAUCAUUUUCAUUUUACCAUUUGGAGGUGCUUUUCCUGUUAGUGAUCCCUAUAUAGCACCGGAUUUGUGCAGCAGCCCACAGACUGCGUCCCAAGCAGAGCAGAACCUAGGAAAGAGUAAGAAGCCAUGAUGAAGUGCCAACUAGAAGGAGACCUUCCACCAAACUUCGCUCCAAUCUGUUUUGUUAUGACAAGAACAAGUGGUUUUAACAAGUAUGCCAUAAAUCAGGGGCGCGCGCUCCAGCCCGGAGCCUUCCAGGUACAAACUCACAUUCCUUUUCUUCUGGUGGGGUUUUUUAUUUUCCAAGACAGAAAAAAACCCCUGGAAUUUGGAUGCUGCCAUCUGCAAAUAGGUAGCGGGGGGCUGAUCCUCGAGGUCGGUAUUAAUAGUUCUGUUCAAGAAAACUCACAGCAGAAUUCAGACGAUGCUCUCUGAAUCUCAUCUGAGUGAAGGCUCAGGGCACAUGACAUCUGGCUUUGCUCUGUAGGACAAAAUCCUUCUUUUCUGCAGUGACCAUGCCCCUCUAGCCAUGACUUUUUGGGCUGCUGUAGGUAGAAAGCACAGGCUGGGAAAGGCACAGCUGUUUUGUCCAGAGAGCUCCUGCUGCACCCUCUAACAGUCUAACAGUUGUCCAGAAGUGCCUUGGGGAGAAAGGAACAUUGGCACCACUGGAGUGGAUGAUGGUAACAAAGGCGGAAUUUCACCUACAAAUCAAAACUUUGGAAAUGUUUGGUUCUAGG
rnacentral:lncRNA from 1 species